rnacentral:rRNA from 1 species
UAGCACAGAGAGCUUGCUCUCGGGUGACGAGUGGCGGACGGGUGAGUAAUGUCUGGGGAUCUGCCCGAUAGAGGGGGAUAACCACUGGAAACGGUGGCUAAUACCGCAUAACGUCGCACGACCAAAGAGGGGGACCUUCGGGCCUCUCACUAUCGGAUGAACCCAGAUGGGAUUAGCUAGUAUGCGGGGUAAUGGCCCACCUAGGCGACGAUCCCUAGCUGGUCUGAGAGGAUGACCAGCCACACUGGAACUGAGACACGGUCCAGACUCCUACGGGAGGCAGCAGUGGGGAAUAUUGCACAAUGGGCGCAAGCCUGAUGCGACCAUGCCGCGUGUAUGAAGAAGGCCUUCGGGUUGUAAAGUACUUUCAGCGGGGAGGAAGGCGAUGCGGUUAAUAACCGCGUCGAUUGACGUUACCCGCACAAGAAGCACCGGCUAACUCCGUGCCAGCAGCCGCGGUAAUACGGACGGUGCGAGCGUUAAUC